rnacentral:piRNA from 1 species
CUGGGUGGUCUGUUGGAUACAGUGGUC